rnacentral:tRNA from 1 species
GCUCCAGUGGCGCAAUUGGUCAGCGUGCGGUACUUAUAAUGCCGAGGUUGUCAGUUUGAGCCUCACCUGGAGCA